rnacentral:rRNA from 1 species
UACGGAGGAUCCGAGCGUUAUCCGGAUUUAUUGGGUUUAAAGGGUGCGUAGGCGGGCCGGUAAGUCAGCGGUGAAAUCCCAUGGCUCAACCAUGGAAUUGCCGUUGAAACUGUCGGUCUUGAAUAUGGUCAAGGUAGGCGGAAUGCGUAAUGUAGCGGUGAAAUGCUUAGAUAUUACGCGGAACACCUAUUGCGAAGGCAGCUUGCUGGGCCAGUAUUGACGCUGAGGCACGAAAGCGUGGGGAGCGAACAGGAUUAGAUACCCUGGUA